rnacentral:rRNA from 1 species
UGGGGAAUAUUGCACAAUGGAGGGAACUCUGAUGCAGCGACGCCGCGUGAGUGAUGAAGGACUUCGUUUCGUAAAACUCUGUUCUAUGGGAAGAAAAGGACUGUACCAUAGGAGAAAGCUCCGGCUAAAUACGUGCCAGCAGCCGCGGUAAUACGUAUGGAGCGAGCGUUGUCCGGAAUUAUUGGGCGUAAAGGGUGCGCAGGCGGCUUUACAAGUUGGAUGUGAAAUAUUGUGGCUCAACCACAAACGUGCAUCCAAAACUGCAAAGCUUGAGUUAAGGAGAGGUAAGUGGAAUUCCUGGUGUAGCGGUGGAAUGCGUAGAUAUCAGGAGGAAUACCGGUGGCGUAGGCGACUUACUGGACUUAAACUGACGCUCAGGCACGAAAGCGUGGGGAGCAAACAGG